UACGAAGGGGGCUAGCGUUGCUCGGAAUCACUGGGCGUAAAGGGCGCGUAGGCGGACUUUUAAGUCGGGGGUGAAAGCCCAGGGCUCAACCCUGGAAUUGCCUUCGAUACUGAGAGUCUUGAGUUCGGAAGAGGUUGGUGGAACUGCGAGUGUAGAGGUGAAAUUCGUAGAUAUUCGCAAGAACACCAGUGGCGAAGGCGGCUCAC
rnacentral:rRNA from 1 species